UACGUAGGGUGCAGGCGUUAAUCGGAAUUACUGGGCGUAAAGCGUGCGCAGGCGGUUUGCUAAGACAGGUGUGAAAUCCCCGGGCUUAACCUGGGAACUGCGCUUGUUACUGGCAGGCUUGAGUGUGGCAGAGGGGGGUGGAAUUCCACGUGUAGCAGUGAAAUGCGUAGAGAUGUGGAGGAACACCGAUGGCGGAAGGCAGCCCCCCUGGGCUAACACUGACGCUCAUGCACGAAAGCGUGGGGAGCAAACAGG
rnacentral:rRNA from 1 species